rnacentral:rRNA from 1 species
UGGGGAAUAUUGCACAAUGGGCGCAAGCCUGAUGCAGCCAUGCCGCGUGUAUGAAGAAGGCCUUCGGGUUGUAAAGUACUUUCAGUCGGGAGGAAGGUGGUAAGGUUAAUAACCUUAUCAAUUGACGUUACCGACAGAAGAAGCACCGGCUAACUCCGUGCCAGCAGCCGCGGUAAUACGGAGGGUGCAAGCGUUAAUCGGAAUUACUGGGCGUAAAGCGCACGCAGGCGGUUGAUUGAGUCAGAUGUGAAAUCCCCGGGCUUAACCCGGGAAUUGCAUCUGAUACUGGUCAGCUAGAGUCUUGUAGAGGUGGGUAGAAUUCCAUGUGUAGCGGUGAAAUGCGUAGAGAUGUGGAGGAACACCGGUGGCGAAGGCGGCCCCCUGGACAAAGACUGACGCUCAGGUGCGAAAGCGUGGGGAGCAAACAGG